rnacentral:lncRNA from 1 species
UAUUUAUAACACAUUGAAGCAUAGAGAGUUAGGACAAAUGGCAAGCCUAUGGUAGAUUGCAUGCAUUGUUUCGAAUUGAGUGUAAACACGUCCAUUCUAAACAUUUGAGAGUCGAGUGCAUCAUUGAAACAUUCACCUUGUGAGGAUUCAAGCUUGGAGGCUAUAAUGUUGAACUUACUAUCACUUGUGACUUCUUGAAA